rnacentral:rRNA from 1 species
UACGUAGGUGGCAAGCCGAUACUCGGAAUCACUAGGCGUAAAGCGUGCGCAGGCGGUUCGUUGUGUCGGUGGUGAAAGCCCCGGGCUAACCUGGGAAUGGCCAUGGAAACUGGCGAACUGGAGUGUGGCAGAGGGGGGUGGAAUUCCGCGUGUAGCAGUGAAAUGCGUAGAGAUGCGGAGGAACACCGAUGGCGAAGGCAGCCCCCUGGGCUAGCACUGACGCUCAGGCACGAAAGCGUGGGGAGCAAACAGG